AAAAAUGAUGGGUAAAUUUUGGGGUAUGACAGCUGCCCCUGUUCAAUAUUCUUGAACCGAGAGAGUUAGGAUGGCGUGUAUGCCAUUCGUGGUCUGGAGGUGGAAGAUUAUUGAACACUAGAAUGCCCCAAAAAUUUGCACUUGAGAAUCGACAGUUGGUCUUGAUGGAGAUGGGCUUAAAGAUGCCAUCCGGGAGUGUUGAUGACGAAAGCUUCAGAUCGAGCCGUACAUUAGGCCAAUUUGAAGACAUGGGUGCCACACUGGGUCGUACAUUAGACCGAAUAAUGAGUCAUCCAUUAGGCUGCC
rnacentral:lncRNA from 1 species